rnacentral:lncRNA from 1 species
UUCUGUUCAUAAACAUUCUUCCACGACGUGCUGUGCUGGAAUCCCUGAGCCUGCUCUGGCCUGGGAGGCUGCCUGAUUUGUCUCUGGUCCAAAACCACACCUGGCCUCGCAUCCUUCUAAUGAUAAUCCCCACAGAGUUCCAGGUGUUCAGCCCAGUGACUGAUUACGAGCCCUGCCGAGUUCAGAGGGACAAGAUGGAGGCUAUAUAUAAAUCCGACAAAGUUUCAAAAGGUUCAACUCAUUCUUGAUCACUGACAAUGGACUUCCUGCAUGCGCUACAAGCAACCCUCCCAGGCUAAUUGGUGACAUCAACCAAAGCCCUGAAAGUGAUUCUGGCAGAAAACGAACAUGUCUCUGCGAAGCAGGUGAAGAGCCCGAGACUUUGGAAUAGACACACUGGCAGCGACGGGGAUGAGACCUCACCAGGGAGGAGGUGCUAAGCCCAACUGCAGGAUGUCUCUGGGUGUCCUCCAGGCACCCCAGCUUUGAAGGCACCCCACCAACCCGGGAUCCACAAACGUUUCCGCCAGAUGUGCAGCCCUUGGAGCAAGUCGUGAAACAACUGCUUUGAAGAUGAAGAGCCCUCGGAGCACGCUAAGUAGCUGUAUUAUUGUCGUGCAGUGUGUGUCACCCUGCGGAGGAUUCAACUCCCAGCACUGUCACCGCUGGGGAAUUAGUGAAAGGCAAACUCAGCCGGAAAUGCCGAGUGCCAAAAAAGAGGAGCGAAUAAAAUGCUGGGGGUGGGAGGAAGGGGACGGGAGGAAGAGGCCUGGCCAUUCAGGACAGUGAAGUCACCGAAGAAAGGUGGCAGCAGGGGAGACUGGGGGUGGACUCUCCAGCCCGUGCCCGCUGGAAGCCCCUCUCCUUUCCCUUCUUAGCACCUGCCGGAUGGAGCGUCUAUGCAGCUAGGACUGUUAUAUGGAGGGUUUUCUCCCGCCGUGGACUCUCUGGAGGCUAUGGACUGUCUGCUUUGCCCAUCAUUCUGUCCCCAACACGUUGUCUGCAUGAAGUGAAGAUUUGAUAACUGCCUGCUAAGGGAGCGAAGGAGUGAGUGGGUGGAUGAGUGGGACGGUAUUCUCACUGCCACAGCUGCUCCCAGCCCUAUUUUAAGGACAGAGAAUAUGCAUAUUUAAAGGACAGAUGCGUGUCUAAUAAUCCCAGCAUGUUGGGAGGCUGAGGCAGGAGGAUUGUUUGAGGCCAGCAGUUUGAGAGCAGCCUGGGAAACAU